rnacentral:lncRNA from 1 species
UCUUCACUUGCCAUAAAGUAAAUCUUGUGUCUCGAUCCAAGAGUGGUAAAUCAUAUUUCAAUAAAGACAUGUCGAUAUAACUUUGAGCUAAUAAACCUGGCUCUGAUACCACUUGUUGAAAUUAUAUCGACAAUAAAGAAAGGAAAUAUGAGAAGAAAAGUAGAAAUGAGAACACAAGGAUUUAACGUGGAAAAACCCUUUCGGGGAAAAAACCACGGGAACAACCGAUGAUAUUACUAUAUGGUAAAAUAUAAGGAUAUUACAAGAGUAUUUAAUCUCUCUC